rnacentral:rRNA from 1 species
GAUGAACGCUGGCGGCGUGCCUAAUACAUGCGAGUCGAGCGAACAGACGAGGAGCUUGCUCCUCUGACGUUAGCGGCGGACGGGUGAGUAACACGUGGAUAACCUACCUAUAAGACUGGGAUAACUUCGGGAAACCGGAGCUAAUACCGGAUAAUAUAUUGAACCGCAUGGUUCACUAGUGAAAGACGGUUUUGCUGUCACUUAUAGAUGGAUCCGCGCCGCAUUAGCUAGUUGGUAAGGUAACGGCUUACCAAGGCAACGAUGCGUAGCCGACCUGAGAGGGUGAUCGGCCACACUGGAACUGAGACACGGUCCAGACUCCUACGGGAGGCAGCAGUAGGGAAUCUUCCGCAAUGGGCGAAAGCUUGACGGAGCAACGCCGCGUGAGUGAUGAAGGUCUUCGGAUCGUAAAACUCUGUUAUUAGGGAAGAACAAAUGUGUAAGUAACUAUGCACGUCUUGACGGUACCUAAUCAGAAAGCCACGGCUAACUACGUG